CAGGUGUUGCAUGGCUGUCGUCAGCUCGUGUCGUGAGAUGUUCGGUUAAGUCCGCUAACGAGCGCAACCCUCGCUGUAUGUUACAUGUGUCAUACAGGACCGCCGGUAUCAAGCCGGAGGAAGGUGGGGAUGACGUCAAGUCCGCAUGGCCUUAUGUCCGGGGCUACACACACGCUACAAUGGUCGGUACAAUGGGUUGCUAAGCCGCGAGGUGGAGCCAAUCCCCCAAAGCCGGCCUCAGUUCAGAUUGCAGGCUGCAACUCGCCUGCAUGAAGCUGGAGUUGCUAGUAAACGCGCGUCAGCUAUAGUGCGUUGAAUACGUUCUCGGGCCUU
rnacentral:rRNA from 1 species